CCUGCAAACAACCUUGACUCCUAAGGGUAAAUUGCUUUCAGGGUUGAUAAUUUUGUUACAUGAGCUUCUAACUCACAGCCCUGGAGACCUGGCCUCGGGUGCAGUCUGUAUGGAGCUUACGUAUUCUCUGUGACCACGUGGUUUCCUCAGAGCUCUGGUUUCCUCCCACAUCCCAAUGAUGGAUGGGUCGAUAGGUUCAUUGGUCACAGUAAAUUGCCCUGGUGUGAAGGUUGAACUCUUCAGAGGCUUACAGAGCACAAGAAAACCAUUCAUCCUACCAGAUAAGGAAACUAAUAUUCUCAGAUCCAUCUAAAACAUUGACACCAACUCAUGGGAAUCCCUGGCCCUUCUUCGUGCUGACUUCUUUACACCACCCACCAUUUACAACACAUGGGAAGAUCCUCAAAUGGAGAAGUACUUAGGAUGAUACUGAGAAGCUGUGCAAGAGGACCACUUGGAGUCCAGCAAAGGGGGUAGAAGGAGCGCCCUGCAUCCCAAACUGUUCAUGCACUGUCCCUGCCAGACACCUCCAGUUCUACAACGUAAACUCCAAGACCUGGGCCUCAAUACCCCUUUGUGUAAUUGGAUUUCCUCACUUUAGACUCUGAAACCUGCCCUGGACCUUUCAUAUAAAUACAAUUGCGAAGAAAGAGAAACAGUGCCUCUACUUCUCCAGGAGUCUGCAGAGUUUUGGCAUAUCAUCAAAAACCUUGACAAACUUCUGUAGACAUGUGGUGGAAAGUGUGCUGACUGGCUGCAUUAUGGCCUGGUAUGGGAACACCAAAAUCUUUGAGUGGAAAAUCUUAUAAAAGGUAGUGGAUUCAGCCCAGUUCAUCAUGAGUAAAACCCUCCCAACCAUUGAGAACAUCUAUAUGAAAUGUUGCCAUAGAAAAGCAGCAUCCAUCAUCAAAGAUCCUCACCACCCAGGCCGUGCUCUUUUCUCGCUGCUGCCAUCAGGCAGAAGGUGCAGGUGCCUCAGGACUCACACCACCAGGUUCAAGAACUGUUACUACCUCUCAACCAUCAGACUCUUGAGCAAAAGGGGAUAGAUGCAUUCAUUUAAGGACUCAUUUAUCUUGUUAUUUCAUGCUUAUUAUUUAUUGAUAUUUGCAGUUUAUAUAUUGUAUAAUAUUGUAUACAGUUUACAAUUCUUGAAGCUUACAGUUUACAGAUCCUGUUUACAGUUACUGUUCUAUAGAUUUGCUGAGUAUGCCCACAGGAAAAAGAAUCUCAGGGUUGUAUGUGGUGACAUGUAUGUAUUCCGAUAAUAAACUUUAGUUUGCACUUUUAAUUAAUAUCAAAUACGUUCUAUUAAUUACUUUUUUUAAUUGGCAUGAAAUAUUUUUUGCACCUCUUGCUAUUUUCUGCUUCUAUGAAUCUUUAAAAAAUGAAUUCACAAUAACGUCCCAUUGUUCUUCUGCAGUGCUCAAUUCAAGUCCUAGUGAAGGGUCUUGACCGAAAACAUCAACUGUUCAUUUUUCUCAAUAGAUGCUGCCUGACCUGCUGAAUUCCUUUCUAUUUUGGUCCAGAUUUCCAGCAUCUGCAGUGUCUCCAUUGUUGUUCAAGAUCUGGAAUGAUUAUCAUAUGGAGUGCUUUCUUUCAGUCAUAGAACAUAGAGCAAAGUACAGAGACCUAGAGCUAUGAUAUCAUGCUGAUAUUUGUAAAUAUACUCCAGAAUUAAUCUGACCCUUCCUUCCUACAAAGUCCCCUAUAUAUCCAUGUAUAUUAUCUAAGAAACUCUUUAAUGCCCCUAUUGUUUCAGCUGCUACUAUCACCUCUGGCAGUGCAUUCCAAGCACCUACAACUCCUAGAGUGAAAAGCCUAGCUCUGCCAUCUCCUCUAAAUGUUCCUCCACUCACCUUUAACAGAUGUGCUCUGGUUUUGCCCUGGGGUCAAGGAGCUGGCUGCCCACUCUUUCUAUGCCUUUCAUCAUCUUGUACACCUCUCUCAUCCUCCUUCGUUCCAAAGAGAAGAGUCCUAGCUCUCUCAACCUUUGCUCAUUAGACAUGUUCUCCAAUCCAGGCACUGACCUGGUAAUUUAUGGUAAUUUAUUUAUAAAGUUUUCGCAUCCUUCUUAUAAUGAGGUGACCAGAACUGAACACAAUAAUCUAAGUGUGGUCUAACCAGAGAGUUAUAGAGCUGCAGCAUUACCACAAAGUUCUUGAACUCAUUUCCGUGACUAAUGAAAGCCAUCACACCAUACGCCUUUCUUAACCACCCUAUCAAUCUGUGCAGCAACUUUGAAGGAUCUCUGGACUUGGACUUUAAGAUCCCUUCAUUCCUCCAAACUGCUGAAAAUCCUGCCAGUAAACUUGUACUCUGCCUUCAUGUUUAAUUUUCCAACUUCGCUUCACACUUCACACUUUUUUGAAUUGAACUCCAUUUGCCACUUCUCCGCCCGACUCUGCAUCCUGGUUACAUUCUGUUGUAACCUAUGACGAUCUUUGAUACAACACCACCAGCCUUUGUGAGUGAGUGAGUGGGGCCUCCGUUGGCCACAGUUGACCAUGGAUGUUGUGCACUAGUCAUCUAGAUACACGAGCCUGGGCAGUACGAUAUGGAGAGCAAGCUGUUGCCCAUAUGCAGCAAGCUCCCCCUCUCCACGCAUCUGAUGAACCCAAAAGAACGGCAGAAACUGAUAAAGUUUGGCACCAGCAGUGUCGCAGGGUUGCCAGUCAGCGUUGAACUCAAUGUGGGACUCCAGCGCUGGAUUUUUCCCUCGGGGUUUACUCCUGAAGCUUUCUCCAUGAGUAGGUAUAGCCACAAGGCAGCAGAGCUUUGAGAUCAGUUUUCCUUCUUCUAGAUGAGCUGCCAAACACGGCUGAUG